AACCAGCACCUCAAGUGGUCAGGAUGAUUAUUGGGCCUAAAGCAUCCGUAGCCGGCUCUGUAAGUUUUCGGUUAAAUCUGUACGCUCAACGUACAGGCUGCCGGGAAUACUGCAGAGCUAGGGAGUGGGAGAGGUAGACGGUACUCGGUAGGAAGGGGUAAAAUCCUUUGAUCUAUUGAUGACUACCUGUGGCGAAGGCGGUCUACCAGAACAUGUUCGACGGUGAGGGAUGAAAGCUGGGGGAGCAAACCGG
rnacentral:rRNA from 1 species